UCGAGCGGACAGAAGGGAGCUUGCUCCCGGAAGUCAGCGGCGGACGGGUGAGUAACACGUAGGUAACCUGCCCCUUAGACUGGGAUAACUCCGGGAAACCGGAGCUAAUACGGGAUAAUAAAGAGAAUCACCUGAUUCUCUUUUGAAAGACGGUUUCGGCUGUCACUAAGGGAUGGGCCUGCGGCGCAUUAGCUAGUUGGUAAGGUAACGGCUUACCAAGGCGACGAUGCGUAGCCGACCUGAGAGGGUGAUCGGCCACACUGGGACUGAGACACGGCCCAGACUCCUACGGGAGGCAGCAGUAGGGAAUCUUCCGCAAUGGACGAAAGUCUGACGGAGCAACGCCGCGUGAGUGAGGAAGGCCUUCGGGUCGUAAAGCUCUGUUGUGAGGGAAGAACAAGUACCGGCGUAACUACCGGUACCUUGACGGUACCUCACCAGAAAGCCACGGCUAACUACGUGCCAGCAGCCGCGGUAAUACGUAGGUGGCAAGCGUUGUCCGGAAUUAUUGGGCGUAAAGCGCGCGCAGGCGGCUUCUUAAGUCUGAUGUGAAAUCUCGGGGCUCAACCCCGAGCGGCCAUUGGAAACUGGGAAGCUUGAGUGCAGAAGAGGAGAGUGGAAUUCCACGUGUAGCGGUGAAAUGCGUAGAUAUGUGGAGGAACACCAGUGGCGAAGGCGACUCUCUGGUCUGUAACUGACGCUGAGGCGCGAAAGCGUGGGGAGCAAACAGGAUUAGAUACCCUGGUAGUCCACGCCGUAAACGAUGAGUGCUAGGUGUUAGGGGUUUCGAUGCCCGUAGUGCCGAAGUAAACACAU
rnacentral:rRNA from 2 species